GCGCACAUAUGUUUUUGAAUAAUAGCCGUUAGUUUUAAGAGGGUGAUGUCAUUGUUGCUGUUCCAGUAAUUAUAUUCCUGCAGUCGUGGAUUGGAUUCCUGAAAUGACUCCUGCAUUGCAUGAGUCUCACUCCGAGGAAGGUAACAAGCGUUGGAGCCAUGAUGCAGGUUUUGUUGCUUUUGUUGAAACACCGGGUGAAUUGGGACGCGCAGUUCCUACAUUUGAACACAGGGGGCGCAUCACCAGUAAAAUGCAUAUAGAAUCAGAACCAAACAUGGAGAAGCAGCGUUCUGUUUAUCUGCUUCAAGUAUCUGGAACAAACUCCCAGAAAGCUGCAGGUCUGCCGAGGCUCUCAGUGGUUUUGAGAUCAAGAUUGGAGACUUUUCUGUUUAGUGCGGCCUUUAACUGAACCAGAAAGAAGGAUUAUGCUUUUUUUAAACCCUUAACUCAGGAAACUAAUACGUACGUCCUUCCAAGAACCUAAAAAACAAUCCAGUUAAGCUCAUGCUUGUUUAUUGUUUUCAAUUUUCGUAAUUGUUUUUCCAUUUUCUUCAUUUUUCUUUUGUUUUUCCUUUUGUUUUCCCAUUGCAUUCUUGUAGAGAGUCAAAGUCCGGGUAUUUUUGCUGCGACUUCCUUUUCAAAGGUCAUUUGAGGCACAUCAAUAGAAGGAAGAGCAAGGUGUGAAGACUGAAGGAUGGUUAACACAGCUAGUCGCUGCCAGGACAAAGCUCAUGAAAGAGAAUCCGAGUCCCGCAUCGCCCUGUGAUGAGCCCUAUCAGGUCUGGGCAAGGCUUUAGACAGUGGCUUGUUCACAACAUGUCUGGCGAUGUUGGCCUUUGUGUUUUUCUCUGAUUAAAUAAACUUGC
ensembl:lncRNA